rnacentral:rRNA from 1 species
CGUAGGCAGCAAGCGUUGUUCGGAAUUACUGGGCGUAAAGGGUGCGUAAGCGGCUUUUUAAGUUUGGUGUGAAAUCUCCCGGCUCAACUGGGAGGGUGCGCCGAAUACUGAGAAGCUAGAGUGUGGGAGAGGAAAGUGGAAUUCCUGGUGUAGCGGUGAAAUGCGUAGAUAUCAGGAGGAACACCGGUGGUGUAAACGGCUUUCUGGACCAUAACUGACGCUGAGGCACGAAAGCGUGGGUAGCAAACAGGAUUAGAUACCCUGGUAGUCCACGCCCUAAACGAUGCAUAUUUGGUGUGGGCCAUUCAUUUGGUCCGUGCCGGAGCUAACGCGUUAAAUAUGCCGCCUGGGGAGUACAGUCGCAAGGCUG